CGCUACGUGGAAAGAUUUGAGAUUGAUUGCAACCACAUGAAAAAAAUGCUAAAGCAAUCGUG
rfam:Tangfeifania diversioriginum strain DSM 27063 genome assembly, contig: Ga0131164_114